UUCCUGGCAGAUUAAAACUGUGUGCCGGACCGAGACUCGAACUCGGUCCGGCACACAGUUUUAAUCUGCCAGGAAGUUUCAACUCUAUGGAACAUUCAUCUGGCUCGGAUUCUGACUCAGCUUUCGGUACCCAUUUUUCUGAGACGGGUCACUCUUUUACCAGUAUUU